GACGAACGCUGGCGGCGUGCUUAACACAUGCAAGUCGAACGAGAAUCUACUGAAGGAGGAUUCGUCCAACGGAAGUAGAGGAAAGUGGCGGACGGGUGAGUAACGCGUGAGGAACCUGCCUUGAAGAGGGGGACAACAGUUGGAAACGACUGCUAAUACCGCAUGAAGCAUAGGGGUCGCAUGAUUCUUAUGCCAAAGAUUUAUCGCUUCAAGAUGGCCUCGCGUCUGAUUAGCUAGUUGGCGGGGUAACGGCCCACCAAGGCGACGAUCAGUAGCCGGACUGAGAGGUUGAACGGCCACAUUGGGACUGAGAUACGGCCCAGACUCCUACGGGAGGCAGCAGUGGGGAAUAUUGGGCAAUGGGCGCAAGCCUGACCCAGCAACGCCGCGUGAAGGAAGAAGGCUUUCGGGUUGUAAACUUCUUUUAAGAGGGAAGAGCAGAAGACGGUACCUCUAGAAUAAGCCACGGCUAACUACGUG
rnacentral:rRNA from 1 species